rnacentral:lncRNA from 1 species
CUGUCACCCAGGCUGGAGCGGAGUGGCGCGAUCUCGGUUCACUGCAGCCUCUGCCUCCCAGGUUCAAGCAAUUCUCCUGCCUCAGCCUACCAAGUAGCUGGGAUUACAGGACGGCCUCCUGGUCCUGAAAUGGAAUACUGCACUGACAGAAAGUCAUACUCCUUAGCUGCUGGCUUGGCCCUGGGCAUGGUCUGCUUGGGGCAUGGCAGCAAUUUGAUAGGUAUGUCUGAUCUCAAUGUGCCUGAGCAGCUCUAUCAGUACAUGGUUGGAGGACAUAGGCGCUUUCAAACAGGAAUGCAUAGGGAGAAACAUAAAUCACCAAGUUAUCAAAUCAAAGAAGGAGAUACCAUAAAUGUGGAUGUGACUUGUCCAGGUGCUACUCUAGCUUUGGCUAUGAUCUACUUAAAAACCAAUAACAG